rnacentral:rRNA from 1 species
CGCAAUGGGCGAAAGCCUGAUGGAGCAACGCCGCGUGCAGGAUGAAUGCCUUCGGGUUGUAAACUGCUUUUAUAUGUGACGAUUAUGACGGUAGCAUAUGAAUAAGGAUCGGCUAACUCCGUGCCAGCAGCCGCGGUCAUACGGAGGAUCCAAGCGUUAUCCGGAAUUACUGGGCGUAAAGAGUUGCGUAGGUGGCAUUGUAAGUUGGUAGUGAAAGCGUGCGGCUCAACCGCAUAUCCAUUACCAAAACUGCAAAGCUAGAGGAUGAGAGAGGUUAUUGGAAUUCCCAGUGUAGGAGUGAAAUCCGUAGAUAUUGGGAGGAACACCGAUGGCGUAGGCAGAUAACUGGCUCAUUCCUGACACUAAGGCACGAAAGCGU